UAAAGUUACUAAGGGCGUACGGGGGAUGCCUAGGUACAUGGAGUCGAGGAAGGACGUGGUAAGCUGCGAUAAGCCUCGGGUAAGUGCAAACAACUUUAGAUCCGAGGAUUUCCGAAUGGGGUAACCCGGCCCGGGUUAUACUGGGUCACUCCCACCUGAAUACAUAGGGUGGGUAGAGAUAACGGAGUGAACUGACACAUCUAAGUAACUCCAGGAAAAGAAACCAAAAGAGAUUCCCUCAGUAGCGGCGAGCGAACGGGGAAGAGCCUAAACCACUAACGUGCCAAGCCUGUAAGUGUUGCGCUAGUGGUGUUGUGGGGUCAUUUUAGAACUGGUUACAGACAGUUCGACAAGUUAUAAAAUCAAUGAUUAAUCGAAUGGGAUGGAAAGUCCAGCCAUAGAAGGUGAUAGCCCUGUAUAUGAAAAUCAAAGAUCUUGUUGGAAAUGAAACCCGAGUAACGCGGGACACGAGAAAUCUUGCGUGAAUCUUCCAGGACCAUCUGGUAAGGCUAAAUACUCCCAUGUAACCGAUAGCGAACUAGUACCGUGAGGGAAAGGUGAAAAGUACUCCUAGCGGAGAGUGAAAUAGAACCUGAAACCGUAUGCCUACAAGCGGUCGGAGCUCCGCCUUGUGCGGGGUGACGGCGUGCCUUUUGCAUAAUGAGCCAGCGAGUUGCUCGUAUGUUGCAAGGUUAAGGCCAAAAAGCCGGAGCCGUAGCGAAAGCGAGUCUUAAUAGGGCGUUUAGUAACAUGCGGCAGACCCGAAACCGAGUGAUCUAGCCAUGGCCAGGUUGAAGGUGCGGUAACACGCACUGGAGGACCGAACCCACCAGCGUUGAAAAGCUGGGGGAUGAGCUGUGGUUAGGGGUGAAAGGCCAAUCAAACUCGGAGAUAUCUGGUUCUCACCGAAAUGCCUUUAGGGGCAGCGUCACAUUAUAGUGUAUCGGGGGUAGAGCACUGAAUGGGCUAGGGGGCCUAAAAGCUUACCGACCCCAAUCAAACUCCGAAUACCGAAUACAUGUUAUGUGGCAGUGAGGCUGCGGGGGAUAAGCUCCGUAGCCAAGAGGGAAACAACCCAGAUCAUCAGCUAAGGUCCCUAAGUCGAUGCUAAGUGACAAAGGAUGUUAAAUCGCCCAGACAGCUAGGAGGUUGGCUUAGAAGCAGCCAUCCUUUAAAGAAAGCGUAAUAGCUCACUAGUCAAGGGGUUCUGCGCCGAUAAUUUCCGGGACUAAGUAUCAUACCGAAGCUAUGGGAUUCAUUCGAUUAGAAUGGAUCGGUAGACGAGCGUUCUAUUAACCUGCGAAGGUUGACCCGUGAGGGCAGCUGGAGGAGAUAGAAAUGAGUAUGCUGGAAUGAGUAGCGAUAAAGCCUGUGAAAUGCAGGCUCGCCGUAAGCGUAAGGUUUCCUGAGUAAAGUUAAUCUGCUCAGGGUUAGUCGGACCCUAAGCCGAGGCCGAAAGGCGUAGGCGAUGGAAAACAGGUUUAAUAUUCCUGUACCAGUUUAAUAUUGUUUGAACUAUGGGGGGACGCAGAAGUGAAAGGAGAUCCCGGUUUUGAUUGUCCGGGUUUAAGAGUGUAGGGAGUUCUGAUAGGUAAAUCCGUUGGAAUAAUCCUGAGACUCGAAUAGGAGGGCUUAGCCCACAAACUCUCCCUAAUCCUGCUGCCAAGAAAAUCCUCUAUGUUAGAUAUUUGACUGACCGUACCGUAAACGGACACACGUACGCGAGGAGAGUAUCCUAAGGCGCUUGAGAGAAUCCAAGUAAAGGAACUAGGCAAAUUAGCCCCGUAACUUCGGGAGAAGGGGUGCCAAUUAAGGAAAAGAACUUCGCGUUCUGCUUUUUAUUUGGCCGCAGUGACCAGGCCCAAGCGACUGUUUACUAAAAACACAGGUCUCUGCUAAGUCGUAAGACGAAAUAUAGGGACUGACACCUGCCCGGUGCUGGAAGGUUAAAUGGAGAGGUUAGCUUCGGCGAAGCUUUGAAAUGAAGCCCCAGUAAACGGCGGCCGUAACUAUAACGGUCCUAAGGUAGCGAAAUUCCUUGUCGGGUAAGUUCC
rnacentral:rRNA from 1 species